rnacentral:rRNA from 1 species
AGUGAACGCUGGCGGUAGGCCUAACACAUGCAAGUCGAACGGCAGCACAGUAAGAGCUUGCUCUUACGGGUGGCGAGUGGCGGACGGGUGAGGAAUACAUCGGAAUCUACUUUUUCGUGGGGGAUAACGUAGGGAAACUUACGCUAAUACCGCAUACGACCUACGGGUGAAAGCAGGGGAUCUUCGGACCUUGCGCGAUUGAAUGAGCCGAUGUCGGAUUAGCUAGUUGGCGGGGUAAAGGCCCACCAAGGCGACGAUCCGUAGCUGGUCUGAGAGGAUGAUCAGCCAAACGGGACCUGGGACAGGGCCCGAACCCUAACGGGGGGCACAGGGGGGAAUAUUGGACAAUGGGCGCAAGCCUGAUCCAGCCAUACCGCGUGGGUGAAGAAGGCCUUCGGGUUGUAAAGCCCUUUUGUUGGGAAAGAAAAGCAGCAGGUUAAUACCCCGCUGUUCUGACGGUACCCAAAGAAUAAGCACCGGCUAACUUCGUG